rnacentral:rRNA from 1 species
AGAGUUUGAUCCUGGCUCAGAACGAACGCUGGCGGCGUGGCUAAGACAUGCAAGUCGAACGGACCAUUAAUUUAUUAGUGGUUAGUGGCGAAAGGGUUAGUAACAGGUGGGUAACGUACCCUGUGCUUUGGGAUAGCGUCAGUUGCUUCGGCAACUUUCCGAAAGGGGCGGUAAUACCAAAUAAUAUCAUUUGUCGAUAGGCGAAUGAUCAAAGAUUCAUCGGCACAGGAGCGGCCUGUCUCCUAUCAGCUUGUUGGCGAGGUAACGGCUCACCAAGGCGACGACGGGUAGCGGGACUGAGAGGUUGGCCCGCAACAUCGGGACUGAGACACUGCCCGGACCUCCACGGAGGGCUGCAGUAACGGAUAUUGCGCAAUGGGCGAAAGCCUGACGCAGCGACGCCGCGUGUAGGAUGAAGUCUUUCGGGAUGUAAACUACUGUCAGGGGUAAGAAAGUGCGCUUCGGCGUAUUGAUCCCACCCAGAGGAAGUCACGGCUAACUUCGUGCCAGCAGCCGCGGUAAGACGAAGGUGGCAAGCGUUGUUCGGUAUCACUGGGCUUAAAGCGUGUGUAGGCGGAGAAGUAAGCGUUCUGUGAAAGCCCCCGGCUUAACCGGGGAAUUGCGUGACGAACUGCUUUUCUUGAGGCAAGUAGGGGUGCAUGGAACUCUUGGUGGAGCGGUGGAAUGCGUAGAUAUCAAGAGGAACGCCAGUGGAGAAAUCGGUGCACUGGGCUUGUCCUGACGCUGAGACACGAAAGCGUGGGGAGCGAACGGGAUUAGAUACCCCGGUAGUCCACGCCGUAAACGAUGCCUACUAGUUGUGGUGGUUCUGACACCAGCACAGCCGAAGCAAAAGUGUUAAGUAGCCGCCUGGGGAGUACGGUCGCAAGGCUAAACUCAAAGGAAUUGACGGGGCUCACACAGCGGUGGAGCAUGUGGAUUAAUUCGAGCACGCGUAGACUUACUGGGUUUGACAUGCUUGUAUGCUGCUGAACAGUAGCUGCCCUCGGGGUGAAACUGCACAGGUGCUGCAUGCUGUCGUCAGCUCGGUCGGAAAUGUCGGUAGGUCUUUACGAGCGAA